GAUGUGUAGUGGUAUUGUGGUGGACCUUUACUAGGCAUUCUGCCUAAUAACUAGAGUGGCACUUGUGCUUUAGUCCAUUUGGCUAUCCCUUUCACCCUGGCAUUUUAUUAACCAGAGAAAAGAAAAAAAUAAAAUAAUAAGACAUCAUAAAGCUAGAGAAGCCCUUUGUAGGUCUUUCAACUCUCACAUCUAUUUAGAUGCAAUUGGAGCCCCACAAGGAAUGUCAGAUCAAUUUAAAGCUUGAAAUCAAAUAGUUACAGGAUUUAAGUCAGUAUUUUGGUAGAUGACAGUCAAUAAAAAUGUAGAUUAGAUAAACCACAUCUAUUGAAACCAACAGCAACGGGCUUUUCAUGAGUUAAAAAGAAAAACUCAUGUCGGCCUCAGCCCUGAGGCUACCUGACCUGACAAAACUCUUUACACUCUAUGUGUCAGAAAGAGAAAAAAUAGCAGUUGGAGAUUUAACCCAGACUGUAGGGCCCUGGCCAAGGCCAGUGGCCUAUCUCUCAAAACAACAGGAUGGGGUUUCUAAAGGCUGGCCUCCGUGUCUAACAACCUUGGCAGCAACGGCCCUGUUAGCACAAUAAGCAGAUAAGCUAUCCCUUGGACAGAACCUAAAUACAACAGCCCCUCAUGGGGUGGUAACUCUGAUGAAUACCUAAGGACACCACUGGCUAACUAAUGCUAAAUUAACUAAGUACCAAGGCUUGUUAAUGUGAAAACCCCCGCAUGACCAUUGAAGUCUGUAACACUUUAAACCCCGCCACCCUGCUCCCAGUAUCCGACAGCCCUGUUAAACAUAACUUUGUAGAGGUGUUGGACUCUGUGUAUUCUAGCAGACCAGAUCUUCGAGACCAGCCAUGGGCAUCAGUAGAUUGGGAAUUAUACAUGGACGGGAGCAGCUUCAUCAACUCCCAAGGAAAAAGGUGCGCAAGUUAUGCAGUAGUAACCUUGGAUGAUGUUGUUGAAGCUAAGUCAUUGCCUCAGGGCACUUCAGCCCAAAAAGCAGAACUCAUUGCUCUCACUCGGGCUCCGGAACUCAGCGAAGGUAAGAUUGUAAACAUCUGUACUCAUUCUCGAUAUGCCUUUCUAACCCUUCAAGUACAUGGAGCAUUGUAUAAAGAAAAAGGCCUGUUAAAUUCUGGGGGAAAAGACAUAAAAUAUCAACAAGAAAUUAAGCAGUGUAGAAACCACAAAGGGUUUUGUGCAUUGCAGGGGACACCAGCGAGUUUCCACCUCAGUGAGCCAAGGAAACUCCCGAGCAGACACAGAGGCACGAAAAGCAUCAUCUACUCCUUAUCGGGCAUCAGUCACAGACCCACUACUCCCUCAAACGCUUGGGGAGGUGCCAACUUAUUCUAAAGAGGAAAAAGAUUUUCUUCAGGCAGAAGGAGGACAAACAAUAAAGGAAGGAUAGAUAAAGUUACCAGAUGGAAGAAUAGCUGUGCCACAGCUGCUAGGAGCCGCAGUCGUGCUGGCUGUACAUGAAACUACCCAUUUAGGCCAAGAAUCACUUGAAAAACUGUUAGGCUGGUAUUUCUACAUCUCACACUUGCCAGCUCUUGCUAAAAGAGUAGCGCAGCAAUGCCUUACCUGUUGAUAGCACAAUGCAAAGCAAGGACUCUCUGUGCCUCCUGGCAUAUGAGCCUAUGGAGCGGCUCCUUUUGAAGAUCUUCAAGUGGACUUCACAGACAUGCCUAAAUGCGGAGGUAACAAGUAUUUACUGGUUCUAGUGUGUACUUACUCUAGGUGGGUGGAGGCUUAUCCAACACGAACUGAAAAAGCUCGUGAAGUAACCCGUGUGCUUCUUCAAGAUCUCAUCCCUAGGUUUGGACUGACUCUACGCAAUAGCUCAGAUAAUGGGACGGCAUUUGUGGCUGACUUGGCAUGAAGCCUGCAGCCGCUGAGACCUGGGAUGCCAAACCAAGCAUGAGGAAAAUCAUCGUCGUGAUUUUAAGCUCAUGAAGAAGAGAACUUUGUCUCAUUCACUGCUAUAUCCAAAGAAGAAAGAGCAGAUCCCAGCAUUUUGUAAACACCGAAUAAGUAAUCUGUGAAUGAAUAGAUGAAUAAAAACUGAGUUGUUUUGAGAAA